CUUUACCACGCUUUUUAUUAAUUAAAGUACCAAUUUGAAAACAUCUCAGAGACUCCAUUUAGUCUCCUUUUUAAGCUUCUCUUUCCUGGACGCGAGAAUAACCAUCACAGUUAACAGAGCUUGAGUGGGAGCGGUUGCGGCUGGUGUGUGGGACACUGAUUGCCGAGCGCACGCGGCUCCGUUCGGAUGCUUGGCUUAGAUCCAACUGCUGAAACGUGGAUGGCGGGUAGCCGAUGUCGAAGAGAUCUUCGUCUGACUCCGGUGAGUUGAUCAGCAGUUCGGAAUCCAUGAGACGGUCUGUCGACAUCAUCGAAUCAGGAUGUUUGUUCUUAUCUGGGGGAUUCUGCUCUCAUCAGUUUGGGGAAAACAACCCUGUCAACUUGGAAACUUCUGUAUCACUCUUAGUGAAGCAGAUAUAACAGCAGAGGCUGGACUCUGUGUCGUGAUACCG